CAGCGGGUGGGGCUAUUGGGGCCUGGCCCGGCGGCGGCUCCUCUGCGGUGCUGAGGUGAGUGUGGCUGGGUGGGGGCGGCGGUGACCGCGAGGUCUCCCGGGCGCGGGGUGCCAGCCCUUCCCUGUAGCAACGCGAUGCUCGGGCCGGGGCCCACCCCGCUGUCGACGACCUCUCCCGCCCGGCGUCCCUCGGGCAGGCUCCCUCCCCACUCUCGGAGUCCUCACGAAAAGCCCUGUUCCUGCUCCGGCGUUUUCCGAUGGGUCCCAAACCCCGACUGGUGUCCUCCCCAAACCUGGCGUCCCGCUCUCCGAUCGCCCUGGCCGGGAGUCCUUCCUUGCCGGGCCCCUGCCCCGCCCGAGACUCCCCUUCCCGGGUUUUAUGACUCCGGGAGCCUCGGCGUCUCUCCACUGCAUUCCUCUUCCCAGGUCGCCCUAGAGGGCUGCGUCCCGGGAUGCCCGGGACCCUCAUGGCCUGGUGACUCGAGGCCCUCUCCUUGCCAGCUCCUCUCCACCCCGCAGACGGUCUUUUUGAUGUCCUUUAGUGAAGUUUUACCAUUUUGUCCCUGGCAUUUUGGACAACACUUGAUGGCCAUUGUUGCAUGCAUGGUAUGUAGAGUUGUGUCCCUCAUUUCAUUUCAUUUCAUUUCAUUUCAUUU
ensembl:lncRNA